CACGUAGGGGGCUAGCGUUGUCCGGAAUCAUUGGGCGUAAAGCGCGUGUAGGCGGUCCGGUAAGUCCGCUGUGAAAGUCGGGGGCUCAACCCUCGGAUGCCGGUGGAUACUGUCGGGCUUGAGUACGGAAGAGGCGAGUGGAAUUCCUGGUGUAGCGGUGGAAUGCGCAGAUAUCAGGAGGAACACCAAUAGCGAAGGCAGCUCGCUGGGACGUUACUGACACUGAGGCGCGAAAGCGUGGGGAGCGAACAGG
rnacentral:rRNA from 1 species